GGGGGUAUAGCUCAGGGGUAGAGUGCUUGCUUAGCAUGCAUGAGGUCCUGGGUUCAAUCCCCAAUACCUCCA
rnacentral:tRNA from 1 species